UACGUAGGGUGCAAGCGUUGUCCGGAAUUAUUGGGCGUAAAGAGCUCGUAGGCGGUUUGUCGCGUCUGCUGUGAAAACUCGGGGCUUAACCCCGGGCCUGCAGCCGAUACGGGCAGACUAGAGUUCGGCAGGGGAGACUGGAAUUCCUGGUGUAGCGGUGAAAUGCGCAGAUAUCAGGAGGAACACCGGUGGCGAAGGCGGGUCUCUGGGCCGAAACUGACGCUGAGGAGCGAAAGCGUGGGGAGCAAACAGG
rnacentral:rRNA from 1 species